rnacentral:SRP_RNA from 1 species
GCCGAGCUUAGUAAUGUGAGCUUGUAACUCAAGUGAGGGCAAAUGGAGGAGUGAGUGAGUUGUUGAAGGAGAAUCGAAGAAUCAUAAAAGAGGAAUUAUUGAGACAUUUCUAAACCUUUUU